UGGGGAAUAUUGCACAAUGGGCGCAAGCCUGAUGCAGCCAUGCCGCGUGUAUGAAGAAGGCCUUCGGGUUGUAAAGUACUUUCAGCGGGGAGGAAGGGAGUAAAGUUAAUACCUUUGCUCAUUGACGUUACCCGCAGAAGAAGCACCGGCUAACUCCGUGCCAGCAGCCGCGGUAAUACGGAGGGUGCAAGCGUUAAUCGGAAUUACUGGGCGUAAAGCGCACGCAGGCGGUUUGUUAAGUCAGAUGUGAAAUCCUCGGGCUCAACCUGGGAACUGCAUCUGAUACUGGCAAGCUUGAGUCUCGUAGAGGGGGGUAGAAUUCCAGGGGGAGCGGUGAAAUGCGUAGAGAUCUGGAGGAAUACCGGUGGCGAAGGCGGCCCCCUGGACGAAGACUGACGCUCAGGUGCGAAAGCGUGGGGAGCAAACAGG
rnacentral:rRNA from 1 species